rnacentral:rRNA from 1 species
GAUCCGGCUCAGGAUGAACGCUAGCGGCAGGCUUAACACAUGCAAGUCGAGGGGUAUAGUUCUUCGGAACUAGAGACCGGCGCACGGGUGCGUAACGCGUAUGCAAUCUACCUUUUACAGAGGGAUAGCCCAGAGAAAUUUGGAUUAAUACCUCAUAGUAUGUGAGAAUCGCAUGGUUUUCAUAUUAAAGUUCCAACGGUAAAAGAUGAGCAUGCGUCCCAUUAGCUAGAUGGUAAGGUAACGGCUUACCAUGGCGACGAUGGGUAGGGGUCCUGAGAGGGAGAUCCCCCACACUGGUACUGAGACACGGACCAGACUCCUACGGGAGGCAGCAGUGAGGAAUAUUGGACAAUGGGCGCAAGCCUGAUCCAGCCAUGCCGCGUGCAGGAAGAAGCAUCUAUGGUGUGUAAACUGCUUUUGUACGGGAAGAAACACUCCUACGUGUAGGAGCUUGACGGUACCGUAAGAAUAAGGAUCGGCUAACUCCGUG